rnacentral:lncRNA from 1 species
AUGUGCUGUCCUGGUUGCUAGGUGCAGAUUUAGGUUCCAAGCAGAACACUCCUAGUGUUCUCUGCAGUUUGUUGCAGAAUCAGAAUGUCUUGGCAACCAAAGGCAGAUCUGGUGCUAUGGAGGACCUGCUUACUGCUAUGAGGUGUUACUUUAUACAGGUCCUGGAGAAGCUGAUUGAGGCCAAGUCACUGUUGCAAGGAGACACGAGACUCACAUCAGAGUUCUAUGGCUUAACAUGGGAGAUGGUGGAAACAGAGAAACACUUCACCAUGAAAACAGAUGAACUAAGGGACUGAGCCAGGGACUGUUGCCCAAGAAAUAUUUACUUUCACCAGACUUGUAGGUAUUGGGCAGUGAUAUUCACUUCAGGGGAGAAACUCUAAUAUGCUUAAGUCAUGUCACCAGAGAUACUGUCUGCACGCUGACAGAAGUGAAAGGAAGAAGGAGACUGACGAGAGAAUGUAAGUAACCUGUCUUAAUGCCUCAUGUCACCAUUCCUUUCUCCCUCUUGAGUUGCCUCCAAUCACAUUAGUCAGCUUUGACUGACUUAGCUACUUCUUUUAAUGACUCACUUUGUGUCUCCUACGGAUCUCCUUUUAGGAGUCAUUUCUAAGGUCUGACUUUUAUGUAUUAAUAUCAAAUGUAGUCAUUGUUCAUACCACAGAAAUAAUUAGAAAAAUGCACUGGGAAAACAAAGUUCUUGAUCUUCUUGCCAAGAGGAAAUGGAUUUUCCUCUAGAUAAUUCUUCCUUUCCCAAAUAGCACUUAAUAGCAUUUCUUCAUCUUUCAGAUUUGCAAAUAUAGUUUUUCAC